CAUGCUAGAGACUGUCAAGGCUCGGCCCAAGUCGGAUUCUGCUGUGAAUAAUGGUGUCUCGGGGACGCCGAAUCCUGACGUGGUAUCGAUGGUGGCGCCCAGUGAGGAUAUAUCGAGUUCCAUUGGGACUGAGGCUUGAUCUUAUCAUGGUUCAUAUUCGUAUUUUUGAGGAUUUCUUUUUUCGUUUUUAAUUAUCUUGAGUACGUUUUGUACUAAAUUAUGGAUUUCCUUAACGAUUAUAUGAUAAUAAUUUUGUCACAUUAUCAUCUAGGGUUUUUUCCCCUAAUUACUGAUUCUUAUAUUACUGCGCGGAAAAAAACCCUAGAUGAUAAUGUGACAAAA
rnacentral:misc_RNA from 1 species